AUUGAACGCUGGCGGCAUGCCUUACACAUGCAAGUCGAACGGCAGCACGGGAGCAAUCCUGGUGGCGAGUGGCGAACGGGUGAGUAAUGUAUCGGAACGUGCCCAGUCGUGGGGGAUAACGCAGCGAAAGCUGUGCUAAUACCGCAUACGAUCUACGGAUGAAAGCGGGGGAUCGCAAGACCUCGCGCGAUUGGAGCGGCCGAUAUCAGAUUAGCUAGUUGGUGAGGUAAAGGCUCACCAAGGCGACGAUCUGUAGCUGGUCGGAGAGGACGACCAGCCACACUGGAACUGAGACACGGUCCAGACUCCUACGGGAGGCAGCAGUGGGGAAUUUUGGACAAUGGGCGCAAGCCUGAUCCAGCAAUGCCGCGUGCAGGAUGAAGGCCUUCGGGUUGUAAACUGCUUUUGUACGGAACGAAACGGUGAGCUCUAAUACAGUUUGCUAAUGACGGUACCGUAAGAAUAAGCACCGGCUAACUACGUGCCAGCAGCCGCAGUAAUAC
rnacentral:rRNA from 1 species